rnacentral:rRNA from 1 species
GGAUGCGAUCAUACCCGCACUAAAGUAGGGGAUCCAAUUAGAACUCCGAAGUUAAGCGUGCUUGGGCGAGAGUAGUACUAGGAUGGGCGAGAGUAGUACUAGGAUGGGUGACUUCCUGGGAAGUCCUCGUGUUGCAUCCC